rnacentral:rRNA from 1 species
GUCUCUUUGAGUGUUUUUAAUAGAGAGUUGGGCCUGCUCAGUGAUUAAUAUUUAACAGCUGCGGUAUUAUAACUGUACUAAGGUAGCAUAAUAAUUUGCUCUAUAAAUUAGGGCUGGAAUGAAUGGUUUGACGAAAAUUAAGCUGUCUCUAUUUUAUUUAUUAGAAAUUAAUUUUUAUAGUGAAAAAGCUUAGAUAAUUUAAAGGGACGAAAAGACCCUAUUGAGCUUUCAUUGUAUUAUAUAUAUAUAUAUAUAUAUAUAUAUCAAUUUCGGUUGGGGUGAUCAAGGAAUAAAAAUAUAAUUUAGUAUAUAACUUCCUUAAUUAUAAUAUAUAGAAAUAUGUAUAUAUGUAUAUUUAUAGAUUAAUAAACCAAAUUUAUUGCUUAUAAGAUAAGUUACCAUAGGGAUAACAGCGUAAUUUUUUUUGAGAGUUCAUAUUGAAAGAAGAGAUUGCGACCUCGAUGUUGGAUUAAAAUGACCUUAAGGUGUAGAGGCUUUAUUGGGUGAAUCUGUUCGAUUUUUAAAAUUUUAC